GGUCAAAAGUGCCCAUUUGUGGAGAGUAGGUGGCGGAGUCUAUGAAAGAGAAAGUAAGAAAAGAGGUACGAACUUGAGACCUAACUUGUCUUAUAAUUGUCAUAUCACUAGUUGUUGCCCACUUUACCAGAUGCAUUGUGAACUUAUGAAUCCAUUCUUUAUUUGCUUCUCUUCUUUCCUCUUUAUUGGUUUAUGUGGUCCAUUGUAG
rnacentral:lncRNA from 1 species